GUCUUUUUGAAUUUAAUUUAAAGUCUAACCUGCCCACUGAGUAAUUUAAAUGGCCGCAGUAUUUUGACUGUGCAAAGGUAGCAUAAUCAUUAGUUUCUUAAUUAGAAGCUGGUAUGAAUGGUUGAACGAGAGAUUAGCUGUCUCAAUUUAUUAUUUAAAAUUUUAUUUUUAAGUUAAAAAGCUUAAAUAUAUUUAAAAGACGAGAAGACCCUAUAGAGUUUAAUAUUAUUAUUUAUUUAUAUUUUAGAAUUUAAUUUAUAGUUAAUUAUAUUUUGUUGGGGUGACAUAUAAAUUUAAUGAACUUUAUAUAUUUAAUUACAUAAAUUUAUGAAUUUUUGAUCCAUUUUUAAUGAUUAUAAGAAAUAAUUACCUUAGGGAUAACAGCGUAAUUUUUUUUUAGAGUUCUUAUCGAAAAAAAAGUUUGCGACCUCGAUGUUGGAUUAAAAUUUAUUUACGGUGUAGAAGCUGUAUAAUUAGGUCUGUUCGACCUUUAAAAUUUUACAUGAUCUGAGUUUAAACCGGUGUGAGCCAGGUUGGUUUCUAUCUUUAAAUAAUUUAAAUAUUUUAGUACGAAAGGACCAAAUAUUUUUAAUAGUUAAUUUUUAUUGAAUA
rnacentral:rRNA from 1 species